GGUUCGGUGACAGAACGAUUAAUGUACCCGUCUGCAAAACGGUGUUUAGUGGGUUUGACUCCCACCCGAAUCUCCA
rnacentral:tRNA from 1 species